GCUUGAAAGACAGUGAAUUAUAAUUCAUUGAUUUUCACUGGUAAAUGCGUUCUUUUUACAAAGGAAUUCUAAGUCAAAGUGUGACACCUGUAUAAAUUGAGUUGAUAAAACAUAAGGACGUGACAAGGAUUUGAGAUCUACAUACGAAAGUUAUUAUUAUUCUCCCACAAGAGCCCCUUUUAAGUGUAAUGUGCGCACGUACAUUAUCGCAUGCACAAUAUAAAAAUGGAUGGAUUUCUUCUUUGUGUGUUUGUCUACCUGUGUGCAAUUGGAAUAGUUUUAUGUAAAACAGAAAAGUUUAGUUGCCAUGAAUGUCGAUCAGAUAAGCAGCCAUUGUGUGCAGAUGAAUUUGGAGGAAGGGAUAACAAAUUCCUGAAACCUUGUAACAUGUCGGACGAAAAUAUGACUGUUUCCUGCAGAAAAGAGGUUAACAAGGUUCAACCGUAUAAGGGGACAAUUAUUAUCCGAAGCUGUUACUAUACUGAAGGAUUCAGACCGAAAGAAGAAUUAGAUGUUUAUGGUGCAACUUACUGGAAUUGUUUUGAUUACGGGUGUAAUGGACAGCAAUCAGUGAAAUCUACAUUUAGUUUGAUAGGAUUCAUAAUAACAAUUUAUAAUAUUUUGUGUUGAAUUGCGAUACCAACAUAUUUCAUUGAUGCAAUGUUUUAUUUUAUGUUCAGUGGAGAGUAUUACGCGAAAGCUUAUUUUUUAAAGUUCAUCGGGGAGUAUAACGUGAAAGCUUGCUUAUGAUUAUUUUCGUAUAUGUUGCUGCUAUCAACUUUUAUGUGCUGCUGCAAACUAUAAUGUGCUGCUGUAGACUAUAAUGUGCUACUGUAAACUAUAGAUGGUUUAUGAUAUUUUGUUGCUGUCGCCAGGCCGAGUAAAGCUUGUUCAAUAUUAUAGAGUUAGGAAAGUUGUUUAUCAUUCCAAUGUUUUUUAUACAUUCAACAUGUAGCAUGAGGUGGCAAUAUUAAAAAAAAUGUAAAAAAUAUAAGUUAAUUUUAUUAGUUCUAUACAUAUACAACUGUCUACCUUAUUAUGAUUAAA